ensembl:snRNA LOC120097661 U6 spliceosomal RNA
UUGCUUUGGCAGCACAAACACUGAUGUUGGACGAAUACAGAAAAGGUUAGCAUGGCUAUGCACAAGGAUGGUACACAGUUAUGAAACAUUCUAUAUUCUU